CAUAUUCAGUAAUAGAUGAAUGCGCGAUUUCGUAAAAUAAAAAAAGACGCAAAAAGGACUUGGCGAAAAAGGAAAGCUCACAGGAAAUCUAAUCGAUGAACUCAGUGUAUACUAUGGAUUGGCUAUUAGGAAAAAUAAAGAUUCCGUAAAUGGUAUGAAGGAAGCAAUCUGAACUACUUUGUAACAUAAAUCUUCCACUGACGAAAAUCCGCAACGACGAUAAUUGACGAUAAUUGUUUGGAUCAGAUAGUUGAUGUAUGUGACAGAAAGCAAAGGUUGACAAUAAAUUUGACGAAUAUAUACAUAAACAAGUAUUGUCUGAUAUUGUUAUUAAAGCUAUUAUUCCUAUAUAUAAAGAAUUAAGCAAGGACGAUUUGUUACACCGCUGUUUGGGAGGCUUUACGCAAAACAAUCGUGAAAGUCUAAAUUCUGAUUGAUUUGGCCGUUUGCACUGAAACAAAUAUUUAACGGCAUUAAAACCAUAGAAAUUGCUAUAUAUAUAUUGCAGCUAACGUUUUUAAUAAAGGCUACACAAGCAUACUUUUAAUGAUGCAUACGAUGAGCAAUUAUUGUUCCGAAUUCAGCUGCAUUGGCGGAGCAAUUUGACGACGCACACGUCUUCAAAAGUGAGGUGCAGAUGUUUGUAGCAUCUAAAGAAGGUCGAAUCGAGCGACGAAAGAGCAGAGCAGCCUUGGAGGAUGCUGCAUUUAUGAAGAAGGAGGUCUAUCGUAUGCAGGUAUAGGUGAUCGAUGAUCUAUCAAAAUGAUGGAAUCAUGUACAUUGUUUCCCGGCGCAUUCAAAAUCACUUUUCACGCAAAUUGUUAUAACUUUUUUAAAUUUUAAUAAUUUUUAAUAAAAUUUGAACUACAACAAGUUAAAUAUGUACUAAAAAAGUUCCAAAUCAGAAA